GCCAUCCCCUGGCGAAUGCUUGUUGCCCUUUCGCCUUCUCCCGACUCACACACAUACCUGCUUUACUUUUAUAUCUCUCUCUAUUCUGGAACCUUCACAUCUUCUCUUCUAAAUCGAAUGAACGGCUCUAGCGCCACCGACGCCGCUGCGGCGGCGCAGGCCGAUGGCAGCGUGGGCAUAUCACCUGGGGAGCUUCACCCAGGAGGGGUACUGGUUCAGAAUCGAAGCGACGCGGUUUCCGGUCCCCGCGACAACCUCGUUAAGAUCAAGGUUCUCCGUGGCACCCAACUCCUUGACGUCUCCGUCCCAGUCGAAUCCACCUUCGGGGAGCUGAAGAAGGUACUUGAGAAAGAGACUGGUCUGGAGCCGCACGAACAGCGGCUCUUAUUCCGGGGUAAAGAGAAGGAUGAUGAUGACUGCUUGCGCAUGGCCGGUAUCAAGGACAUGUCCAAGGUCGUGCUUUUAGAGGACCCUGUGAGCAAGGCGCGGAAGUUCGAGCAGAUGAAGCGGGAUCUGUAUAUGAAGAAGGCCUACGAUGCCAUCGCAGCUGUGAGAGCGGAAGUGGACAAGCUCGCCACCAAGGUGUCAGCUUUGGAGGCUGCCGUUCAUUCAAGCACGAAAGCUGAUGCUAAGGACUUUGCUGUUUUGACUGAGUUACUCAUGAUGCAAUUGUUGAAACUGGACGGCAUUGAGGCUGAGGGCGAAGCCAAAAUGCAGAGGAAGUCAGAGGGCAUGGAGAAGAAAAGGAUAAAAGGGAAGAAGAAAAGAACGCAAGAAGAAGAACAAACCUGAAUUUGAAGAAGAGUUGCACCAUCGCCCAGGUAUUUCCGUUCGCCACCGCUGUUCCUGAGUCGCGCUGUCACCUAGGUAUGCGUUUUUUCCUCUUUUUUUUUUUGUUUUUAUGUUCUUCACUUCUUCUCUUCUUCUUUUUCUUCUGUUAUCUUCUUCUUCUCUUCUUAUGUUAUUUCUUUUCUUCUCCUUUUUCUCUUAUUCGAUUUCACUGUUCAGUUUCUCUUCGUUUCUUCAUCUUCUUUUCUUCUCUUUAUUAUGGUAUCUUCUUUUUUUUCCUCUUUUUCUUCUUAUUGAGUUGCUGGUUCAUAUUCUUGUUGCUGUCCGGUUUUGUUUGUGUUUUUUCCUUCCAUUUUUGCAGGUUGUGCUUUUCUUGCCGACUGUCGUCCGAUUUUGCUACUGUCCGAUUUUUCAUUUUUUUGGUCUUGUUUUUCAUUUUUUCCUGUUUUUAUUUUUGUUUUUUCCUGUUUUUCUAUUGCUGGUAUAGUGCUUUUCUAUUGCUGGUACAGUGCUUUUCCAUUAAAGUGCUUUUUUAUUUUGUUUUUAAUUUUUCAAACUAUUUUAUUGCCCAAUUAUUAUGAAAGUUAGUAGUGAUACUCCAACAUAUAUAUCAAAAGAUCCGACAUGAAAUUAUUUUCAAAGAGUUAAUCCGGAUAACAAAAAUGAUUUGAUUUAUAAUUUUUGUCAAAAAAGUUACAAAAGAGGGUAUCUAUCGUGCAAACCAUCUUGUUGGGGGAUUUCGAAAUACUACGACUUGCAAAAAAUAUCCUCCUUGUGUACGUGAAGAAAUUAAAAAUUUCAUGGAAAAUAAAACAGAGAAAAGUAAUCUUUCUAAACUUGACAUUGGACUUUGGGGAUGUAGACCCUCUUGGUGAUGAUAUUGGAGCUAAAGUUGUGCCACCUAUAAGUACAAGUUUUAAAUCAGUGAAUAUGCAAAAAAAAGCCAAUAUAAAUAGGUCCAAUGGAUAUUUAUUUUGCUUCUAAUGUACAAAAAAAAAUGUUGAAAGUAGAAAGGGUAAAGAGAGACAUUUCAAACUACGAUAAAUGGGGCAUACAAGAAAGAAUUGAGGGAAAAAGUUUGUAUGGCCAUAACUGAGUGCAUGUAUGAUGCGGCAAUUCCUUUUAAUGCCGUUAACUAUUCAAGCUUCAAAAGGAUGCUGAACUUGGUUGACCAAUAUGAUGUAGGUCUAAAAGGACCUAGUUAUCAUGAGGUGCGGGUUCCUUUUGUAAAAAAAGCUAUUGAUAGUGUGACAAAUGAUUACAUUAAGUCGUGUGAAACAGAAUAGGCCAAGUAUGGUUGUAGUUUGAUGGCAGAUGGGUGGAUAGACAAAAGGCAGAGGAUAUUGAUUAAUUUUUUAAUGAAUUCUCCUAAAGGUUCAGUUUUCAUCGAAUUGGUUGAUGCUUUUGAUUAUGCAAAGAUUGGAGAGAAAAUAUUUUAGUUGCUUGAUCGAUUUGUGAAGCGUGUAGGAGAAGCAAAUGUUGUUCAAGUUGUUACGGAUAGUGCAAGUAACAAUGUGCUUGCUGGAAAAUUAUUAGAAGCAAAAAGGCCACACUUGUAUUGGAGUCCUUGUGCUGCUCACUGCGUCGACUUAAUCUUAGAAGAUAUUGGAAAAUUGCCUGAUUUUAAAGCAACAUUGAAGAAUGCAAUGAGUGUGAAUGCUUACAUUUAUGUUCGCCUCAGCAUGGUAAAUAUGUUGAGGCAAUUCACAAGACAAAAAGAGCUUUGUCAGGUGGGUGUCACAAGAUUUGCUACUGCUUUUCUCACUCUUGAAAGGAUGCAUCUACAGAAGUAAGAUUUAAGAAAAAUGUUUAUUUCAAAGGAUUGGACAGAAAGUAAAUGGGCAAAAGAAGCGGCAGGGAAGAAGGUAGCUAAAAUCAUCAUGAUACUUAGAUUUUGGAGCAGUAUUGUGCAUAUUUUAAAGAUAUAUGACCCUUUAGUCCGUAUUCUGAGACUGAUUGAUGGUGAAAGAAAACUUGUAAUGAGUUCUAUUUAUGAGGUUAUGGAUAGGGCAAAAGAAAUAAUUAUAAAGGCCUUGAAGGAGAAAGAAGAGAAAUACAAAGAAGUGUUUGAGAUCAUUGAUACGAGAUGAGAAUGCCAACUUCAUCGACCUCUGCAUGCUGCAUGACAUUAUUUGAAUCUAAAAUAUUUUUAUUCAUACACAAAUUCAAAUAUCUGGGGGAAAUUGGUGAAUGACUUGUUUGAAACUAUGAAGAGAUUGGUUUAAAGCAUUGCUAAGCAAGAUAAAAUCACUACCCAACUCUCUAUAUAUAGAAAGGCAGAAGGACUAUUUGGGAGCAAUGUGACAAUUAGACAUAGAAGAGCAUUAUCUCUAGCAGAAUGGUGGGAAUGCUACCGAGCAAAUACCCCAGAAUUGCAAAAGUUUGCUAUUUAAGUGUUGAGCCUCACUUGUAGUGCUUCUGGCUGUGAGCGUAAUUGGAGUGUAUUUGAGCAUGUAUAUAAUAAAUAUAAAUAUAUAAUACUAUUAGUAUGUUACGUUUAUAAGUAGAAAAUAUUCUUUGCUAUUUUAUUAUACUUAUUGUGAUUUUUGACAUUCUGUAGAUUCACAGUAAAAAAAGAAUAGGCAGCAACACUUAAAUGAUUUGACCUCAUCUUUUUGACAAAUAUUGAUGACAGUAAUGAAUGGUUGAUGGGUAGAAUAGAUGGAGAAAGUGAUAAUGAAGAAGAAUUAGUUUUUGAAGGUGAUGACUUGACAUGGGAUGUCGUUGCUAGGGCUAGUGGAGCUGAAGAGCCUGAAUAUUGUACUAGAGGAAAAAACAUUGCAUCCUUGGCCUCUAGUUCACAUGCGAGGCCUAAACAAGUCGAGAAGGGAAAUACAUCUUCCACUAUGAGACACUCAUCUCUAAGACUUAGAAAUGAAGAAGAAGAAAUUAAAUUUGACGAAGAUGAAGAUAAAGAAGAAGAAUAAUACAAUGCGGAUGAACUUGAGCUUGAUGAUUAAUUUGACUUAUUACGCUUGUUUUGAUGAACUUUGUUACUUUAGAUUAUAAAGUUGAAACUUGAAAGUUUGAAACUUAUAUUAAUUUUAUCAUGGUGUUGUUUUGCUUGUCAUAUUUGAUAUUUGUGUGUGUGGAAUAUUAAUAGUUAUUAUAUUUGACCGGUAGUUUAGUAAUCAACCUAAUGUUCAAGAGGCAUGCGCCUUAGGCGCGCGUCGCGCCUCAGUGCGCCUCGCGCUUCUAACAACACUGUAAUUUACUAGUAUCCUAUUACAUUUAUUUUUAAUUUUUAAUACAUCUUAUUUCGAUAAGAUUUUCUGUCUUCCUCUUUCUCGCUUUAACUAUUUUGCAAAUAUUUCUUUCCCCUUAUUUUGUAUCCAAUUUAAGAUAUAAGCAUUUAAAAUUUCAUUCUUAGCUUCAUUCACAACUUUUUUUUUUUUUUUUUGCUAUUGUAUAUUUUUUUAAAGUUUUCAUCAUUCAUACAAGUAUAUAAUACUUCAUAGGCUAUUCCUUUUUCCUUCACUUUCUUCUGUGUUUGCUCAUUCUGCCAUCAAAAUUUUUUACUUGGUGGUGCACGCCCUUUUGAUUCACCGAUUACAUUUUUGGCUAUUAUUUUUAUACUUUGAUACCAUCUUAUCCCAUGUUGUAUUCGAGUCGCCAUAUAUUUCUCAUAAUACUUGUAUUCUUACCCUCUCUUUAAAUAUAUUUUUGCUUCCUAUCCUUUAAGUUCCACCACUUAAUUCUAAGAGUCGUGUAUAAUUUCUUUCUAUUGAUAUUAUAUUUGAGGCGUAUAUCCAACACUACUAACCUAUGUUGGGUAGUUAAGUUUUCUCCGGAGAUAACCUUGUAAUCUUUAUAAAUCUUUUAAUCCUUCUUCCUAAUUAUAAGAAAGAUAAUUUGUAAUAUAUUUUUCCCAUUUUUAACGUCACUAAUUUACGAUAUAACCAUUCAAAAUUUUAUUCUUAGCUUCAUUCAUUACUUUCUUUACUUCUUACCUUGGUUAAAAAAAAAGGGCAGCCCGGUGCACGAAGCUCUUGUUAUACGGGGUCCCGGGGAAGGAUCCAUUGUACGUAGCCUUACCCUACUUUUUGCAAGAGGUUAUUUCCAGGAUUCGAACCCGUGACCUUUUGGUCACAAAGCAACAACUUUACUGUUGCACCAAGGCUCUCCUUCACCUCUUACUUUGGUGAUUAUAUAUUUUUUUAAAUUUUCCUCGUUCUUACAAGUAUAUAAUACUUCAUUUUUCCUUCACUUUCUCUUGUACUUUAUCAUUCCACGAUCAAGAUUCUUUACUUGUGGUGCAUAUCCUUUUGACUCAUCGAGUACACUCUUGGCUACUAUUUUCAACUUUGAUAUCAUCUUAUCCCAUAUCGUAUUCGAGUUGCUGCAUAUUUCUUCUAAUAUUUGUACUCAUAUCCUUUCUUUAAAUAUAUUUUAUUUCCCGUCCUUUAACUUUCACUACUUAAUUCUAGGAGUCAUGCAUAUUUUCCUUCUAUUGAUACUAUGUUUGAGGUGUAUAUCGAACAUAUGUUGGAUAGUUAAGUUUUUUCUAAAGAUAACCUUGCAAUCUUUACAAAUUCUUCUAUCCUUCCAUAAGAAAAUCAAUUUACGAUUUAUUAUUUCCAUUUUUGAGUGUGAUAAGUGUUCUUUGCUUUUCUUAUUAGCUAGUAUAAGGUCAUAUGUUAUUGUAAAAUCUAAUAUAGUUUUUCUUUUUCAUUUCUUAUUCCAAACUUAUAACUCAUAUACCCCCAUACUCUGUAAGUUGGAUAAGACUAAAUAUUAUAAGACUAUUAAUUGUCUUAAAGUGGAACAUAGAACAUAGGAACGCUCAAUAACGGUAGUAAAUAUGAUGUUCAAGAGCAAAAAAGUAUUUUAUGUUUACAAGAGACAAAAUGAGUAUGGGAGAAGGCAAAGAUAAUAGAGAACUUUAAUUUUAAGUUUUGGUAUACAGAAAAAAGUAAAAUGAGAAAUGAAGUAUGUAUUAUUGUAGAUGUUUCAUUAAAGGACAAAAUAGUAAUAGUAGUUAGAAAAGAAAAAUAAGAUUCUAGUUUUUAAGUUAGUGGAAUUAAAAGAAAUUAUUAAUGUAAUUAACAUAUAUACACCUAAAAUAAAUUAGAUGAAGACAUCAAGCUUAGAUUUUGGGAAGACCUAAAUGAGGCCGUACAAAAAAAAAAUUCGACAAACAAGACGAUUUUAAUAGGAGGAGAUCUAGAUGGAUAUCUAGAGUAAGAAACGAGGAAUAUGAGAGGGUGCAUAAUGACUAUGGUUUUGGAACAAGAAAAGAUGGGAAAAAUAUAUUGAAUUUUGCAAUAGCUUAUAAACUUAUAAUAGCUAAUAUAUUUUUUUAAAAAAGAGAAGAACAAUUAGAUAUGCGCUUCAAGCAUACUCAAGGAAAAUAUGUAUGAGUCCUAAGAUCAACUGGUGGAAGUUAACGGAUGAGAAACAAAGUAUCUUUAUGGGAAGUUAAAAAUACAAGUAUGAGAAAUACAUGACGACUCAAAUACAUUAGAUAAGAUAGCGUCAAAUAUAAAAACAGUGGCAAGAGCAUCCUUGGUGAGUCAAGAGAAUAAAUACCAUCAAAUAAAGAAUAUUGGUGGUGAAAUGAGGAAAUACAAAAGACAUUGAAGGGAAAAGAAUAUUGGUGGUGGAAUGAGAAAGUACACAUUAUCAUAGUGCAUACUGUUUAUAGAUGAUAUUAUUUUGGUUUUUAAGACUCAUGAAAGAGUAAUUGCUAGAGUUUGAAUCUUGGCGGAAGAUAUUGGAAGUUAAAUGUUUUAGACUUAGCAGUAUAAAAAUAAGAUAUAUAAAAUUUAAAUUUAGUAGUAAUAUACAUAUUACGAUAAUUGUUAAGAUAAAAAGUGAUGAGCUAUUUGUAAAUGAAAGAUCAAAAGGAUAGAGGAGUUACAAAUAUUUUACGUAAGAUACAAGGAGGAUAGUUGAAAUAGAGGAGGGUGUUUGCUAUGUUUUUGUGAUCGUAAGGUAUUUCUAAAAUUUAAAAAAAGUGCUACAAAAUACUGAUUAGAUUUGAUAUGAUAUAUAAAGUUUAAUGUUGGGCUAUAAAGAGAGCAUACAAGUAGAAGAUGAGAGUCACAGAUAUAGGAUGUUAAAGUUAAUGUAUGGACAUACAAAAAUUGACAGAUAAGAAAUAAGAGUAUUAGACAGAAAGUUUGUAUCUAUUAAGGAAAAACUCCGAGAGAUAUAUUUAAGGUGGUAUAAAUAUGUACUUAGGCAAUCAAUAAAUGUCCUAGUUAGACGAUGUAAGAUCGUGACAAAUAUGCAUAUUAAUUAAGAGAGAUAAAAUAAGACUAGUUAUUAACAAUAAAAUUGAAUAAAAUUUAUUUAAAUAUAAAUGAUAAUAUAGUAAAAAAUCAAUCUCACUCGCUUAGGAUAAUCCAUAUGGAUGACCGUUGAGGAAGUUAUGAAAGUUGAAUAUAAAUUAUUGGAAGAAAUAUGAAUUGAUAAUCCGAUAGUGGCAGUUUUUUUGGCUAACAAAUCGUUUAUUACUUAUGUUCACUCUGUGCCAAAUUGCUAGUAUAUCAACUAUCUAAAGUCAUGUGCAAGGACAUUGCGAAGUUGAGUUGCGUUUUUUCCAAAUAUUUAAGGUCAACUACAACUAAAUGAGUUUUUUUUUCCUUCAUUAAGUUUCUGUGCAAAGUUGUAGUAUUGACAAUUUUUUAAAUUAAUUGUUUUUUUACUUAUGAUAACAUUUUUUGUCUUUUUCAUUACAACCUUCCACUCUUUUAGUUUUGACUCUUUUAACUAUUAGUCAAUAGUGAAUGUGUCAAUGAUAAUGCCAUGAUGAUCAAUUUUUUUUUCUCAUUCUAUUAUAUACUAAAGCUACAUUUAAUUUCCCUCAAAUACUUGUAUCUUUUAUUUUAGGUAAAGAGGAACAUGACAAUCACACAACUCUAGAAGCUUUUAUUUUAACUACUUAUUUAUUGAAUAUCAUUAUGAUUAUCUAGUAUUAAUUUAAAAACAACUUUGACUUGAUCUUUAAUGCAAGGCUAUAGCUAUAGGAAAAUGAUUUAUCAAUUAAUAUAAUAUUGUUCUUGAAUACGAAUAUAGUUAGUUAAUUUAUUCAAUAUUAAUUUAAAAACAUACAAAUGAGCUUUAAUGGGGGUGUAUAAAUAACUACAAGAGAGCUCUCUUGAGCCAUUCAGAUCAUUUAGUUUGGGUGAAUCGAUUGGUUCUAAUAACUCAGUUGGUUUUAAUGGGCUAGAUGGAGUAAUUAGUUUCACUCGAGUGGUAUUAGUCUAACCUAACUGUUGCUUCAUUAAGAUGAUCUUGUGAAGGAAAAUAUUUCCUAAUAUAUGAAAAUAAAGGAGACAUAUAAACUUGUGUGAUUCAAUUAUAAGGGUAUUAAGCUAAUGAGUUAUAUAGUGAAACUUUGAAAAAGAGUGAAACAAAAUAAAGAGACCAUAUUGAUCAAAAAUCAAUUUGAGUUUAUGUCUAGAAAGCCAAUAAUAAAAGUUAUAUAUCUUUUCAAAUAACUAAUUGAAAAGUAUCAGGAAAAGAAGCAAGACUUACACAUGGUAGUUGUCAAUCUUAAGAAAACAAUAUGAUAAGAGUCCUGAAGGAAAUAAUAUGUUAGCGUAAUGCAUAUUGAAAUAAUUAAAGAACAUAUAUGAUGAUGUAAUGACAAGAUUGAAGACUCCAGGCAGAUUAACCGAAGUCUUUCCUAUAAAGAUGAGUUAAUUAAGGAUCAACUCUAAAUUCUUAAUUUUUUACACUAAUCAUGGAUGAACUCACUGGACAUCCAAAACACGUUACUAUGAUGCAUUUUAUUUACAAAUGAUCUUAUUUUGGUAGAUGAGGCAUAUAAAGAAGUAAAUGCUAAAAUUUAAGUUAAAUAAUAUUAAAUGUAGUAAGAUAAUUGUUAAAAUGGGAGAAGACGAGUUACUAAGAGUUUUAAAUAUUUUGAAAUGUUUUAAACUUAGUAAAGAUAGAAUAUAUGAAAUUUAAGUUAAAUAAUAUUAAAUGUAGUAAGAUAAUUGUUAAAAUAGGAGAAGACGAGUUACUAAGAGCUUUAAAUAUUUUGAAAUGUUUUAAACUUAGUAAAGAUAGAAUAUAUGAAAUUUAAGUUAAAUAAUAUUAAAUGUAGUAAGAUAAUUGUUAAAAUAGGAGAAGACGAGUUACCUAAAGUUUUAAGUAUUUAGGAUUAUUUUUGCAAAAUGAUUGAGAGAUGUCUUACAUAGAAUAAAGACAGGAUAAUUGCAAUGGAGGAGAACGUUAGAUGUUCUUUAUUAUCGUAAACUAUCUCUAAAACUUAAAUGGUAGUUCUACAAAAUGACGAUUAUACAAAUAUGAGAGUUGUAGAGAUGAGUAUGUUAAGGUGGAUGUGUGGACAUACGAGGAUAAAGAAGAUAAGCAAUAAGAAUAUUAGAGAGAAAGUUGAAGUUGUGCUUAUUGAGGAAAAUUUCCGAGAGAUGCGUUUAAGAUGAUACAACCUUAGAAGACCAAUAAAUGCUCCUCCCGUUAGACGAUGUGAAAUUAUAUCAAAUGCACACAUUAAAUAAAGAAGAGAAAGACCAAAGAAGACUUGGUUACUAAGGAUAAAAUAUGAUAAAAUAUAUUUAACUAUAGAUGAUAGUGUAGAGAAUAGAGCUCAAUAGAUUAGGAGGAUUCAUAUAGUUGACCAUACUUAGUGGGAUAAGAUUUGAUUGUUGUAUAUGUUAACAACAUAUCCAAAAUGUAAAAAAUAAAAUGUUUUGCCAAUUGCUAUGCUUAUAAAUUUUUUUAUCCCAAUUUUUGCUACUUUAUAUUUCUAUUCAAAUAAUCUACAUUUCUAUAUCUUUCACUCUUUAAAUAAAGUAUCUUUUGUAAAUAAUUUUUUUCAUACGGUUUCUAAGAUGGUUAGUCCUGUAUUCCAUGGUAUUACCUCAUAAUUUUUACACAAUUAUUUAGAAAGGUGAAUUGCUACAGGUGAACAAAUGCUCUUCUCUCUUCUUAAAAGCAAGCAUUGAGAAUUAGAAGAUUCUAAAAUUGUACUAUGUACUACCCUCGUCAUUUCUUUUGGUAUACUGCGAAUAAUUGAAUUUAGGUAUUCUCAAAAUCCCCUUUUGAUCAAUCAGUCUUGCUGAAGUGUAUAGACAUAAUGUUAAGUAUCUUAUUUUCUAGAACUAGUUGUAGCACAAUAAAUUUUAUCUUCGUAUCUUUUAUACUUUGACAAAUAUAUUCUUAUAAUCCUUUUCUAGCAUGAUACCCUUUUCAUUUUUAUUCGUAACUUCAGUAUACCAAAUUUUAGAACAUAUUUUUCCUAUUUAUCUAGCUUUUUCUCCAAUCUAGUUUAUUUCUUGUAAGCAAUUUGUGUUGAAUUUAUUUAGCACCUACUAAUUCUGGUACUUCCUCGUGAGUUUUUCUAUAUUUAUGUUGCUUAUUAUCAUUGAUUAACUUCAUCUAACAAUUUGAAAACCCUUAUUUUUGUCUCACAUUCACAUUCGGAUGUUGAUGUGAUGAGUCACUUUUGGCAACUUCCUAGCUCUUCCUUUACAUAUUGAGGUACUUGAAUGAUGAAAUCCUUCCACCUGUGGAUGAUGGCAUAGCCUCACUAAAAAUCGAUAGACACUGGAUGUCCAAGCCUAAGGCAAUUCUCAUUUUUUUUCUCUUUUUUUUUGUACCAUGACUUGAUCUUAUUAUGUGCAAACAGAAAAGAGGAAAAUCUCUACUGAUUCCCCUAUCGAGAACAUUUUUUCA